rnacentral:lncRNA from 1 species
CACGAAAAGGAGGAGAAAGGAAGAAGAGGAGGAAGAAGAAGAGGAGGAAGAAGAAGAGAAGGAGGAGGAAGAGGAGGAGGAAGAAGAAGAGGAGGAAGAGAAGGAGAAGGGAGAAGAGGAGAAGGAAGAGGACAAGAAGGAGGAAGAGGAGAAGGAGGAGGUUAAGAGCAAUUGCCACUCUUCCCAGAGAACCCAGUCUUGGCUCCUAGCACCCAUGUCAGGCAGCACACAACUGUCUGUAACUCCAGCUCCAGGAAAUUGGAGAUUGAAUGCCUCUGGCCUCCAUGGGCUCCUGAACUCCUGGGAACAUAGCCACAUGCAGACACACACCUACACACAAUUAAAAAUAAUAAUAAUGUUUUAAAUGAAAGAAAAUUCACCCCAAAUGCUCCUGUCCCACACAAA